UGUACUGUGGCUUAGUGGGUUAAAGCGUCGGAAUAGGUAUACGGGGUCGUGGGUUCGAAUCCUACCCAAACAA
rnacentral:tRNA from 1 species